CCAUGGACUGGAGUUGGAGAACCCUCCUCCUGGUGGCUGUGGCUACAGGUGUCCACUCCCAGGUGCAGCUGGUGCAGUCUGGGGCUGAGGUGAGGAAGCCUGGGGCCUCUGUGAAGGUCUCCUGCAAGGCUUCUGGAUACACCUUCACCAGCUACUCCAUGCAGUGGGUGAGACAGGCCCCAGGAAAGGGCCUGCAGUAUAUGGGCUGGAUCAACACAGAAACUGGGAAACCCACGUAUGCCCAGGGCUUCUCAGAAAGAUGUGUCUUCUCCAUGGACACCUCUGUCAGCACGGCCUAUCUGCAGAUCAAUGGCCUCAAGUCUGAGGACACAGCCAUGUAUUACUGUGCAAGACACAGUGAGGGGAAGUCAGUGUGGCAGUUCCCAGCCUCCAGCAUGGACUGUGCCAUCACCCUGGCCAUUCUCCUGGCUGUGCACCAAGACAACUCCAUCAGCACCAGCUACCUGCAGUGGAGCAGCCUGAAUGCCUCUGGCAUGGCUGUGUAUUACUGUGCGA